rnacentral:rRNA from 1 species
UACGAAGGUGGCAAGCGUUGUUCGGAUUUACUGGGCGUACAGGGAGCGUAGGCGGUUGGUAAGCCCUCCGUGAAAUCUCCGGGCCUAACCCGGAAAGUGCGGAGGGGACUGCUCGGCUAGAGGAUGGGAGAGGAGCGCGGAAUUCCCGGUGUAGCGGUGAAAUGCGUAGAGAUCGGGAGGAAGGCCGGUGGCGAAGGCGGCGCUCUGGAACAUUUCUGACGCUGAGGCUCGAAAGCGUGGGAGCAAACAGG